rnacentral:rRNA from 1 species
UACGGGGGGGGCAAGCGUUGUUCGGAAUUACUGGGCGUAAAGCGCGUGUAGGCGGCUUUUCAAGUCGGACGUGAAAGCCCCAGGCUUAACCUGGGAAUUGCGCUCGAUACUGUUGAGCUAGAGUGUGGAAGGGGCUACUGGAAUUCCGUGUGUAGCGGUGAAAUGCGUAGAUAUACGGAGGAACACCGGUGGCGAAGGCGGCCAACUGGACAGAUACUGACGCUGAGACACGAAAGCGUGGGGAGCAAACAGG